GAGUUUGAUCCUGGCUCAGGACGAACGCUGGCGGCGUGCCUAAUACAUGCAAGUCGAACGAAACUUUCUUACACCGAAUGCUUGCAUUCACCGUAAGAAGUUGAGUGGCGGACGGGUGAGUAACACGUGGGUAACCUGCCUAAAAGAAGGGGAUAACACUUGGAAACAGGUGCUAAUACCGUAUAUCUCUAAGGAUCGCAUGAUCCUUAGAUGAAAGAUGGUUCUGCUAUCGCUUUUAGAUGGACCCGCGGCGUAUUAACUAGUUGGUGGGGUAACGGCCUACCAAGGUGAUGAUACGUAGCCGAACUGAGAGGUUGAUCGGCCACAUUGGGACUGAGACACGGCCCAAACUCCUACGGGAGGCAGCAGUAGGGAAUCUUCCACAAUGGACGCAAGUCUGAUGGAGCAACGCCGCGUGAGUGAAGAAGGUCUUCGGAUCGUAAAACUCUGUUGUUAGAGAAGAACACGAGUGAGAGUAACUGUUCAUUCGAUGACGGUAUCUAACCAGCAAGUCACGGCUAACUACGUGCCAGCAGCCGCGGUAAU
rnacentral:rRNA from 1 species